CAGAUGGAACUGAGUCAGCUUCAGCCAUGACUCAAAGUGUGACCGAGUCAGAUCCAGUGACUAAGUCACAACCUGACGAGUCACCCAAGCAGCAGGUCAACGGAAGAGUGCAGAGAACUCGCUUUAUAUUUGUAAAGUCUGGCAGUGGCUGUAUUACCUCUACAAGAGUUAUUUCUGUUCUAUCCACCAUGGCCGCCCUCGUUUUCGUCGUGGUAGCAUGACUAUAUCAUGUGACUACCCAGGCGAGUCCUUGAACGAUCUGAAAAACGCAAGCAGAGGUUGUUGUGCACAGAAAUUAACUUACGACUGGCAAUGUCUUAUUUAUG